rnacentral:rRNA from 1 species
AGCGAACGCUGGCGGCAGGCUUAACACAUGCAAGUCGAGCGGGCACUUUCGGGUGUCAGCGGCGGACGGGUGAGUAACGCGUGGGAACGUGCCUUCUGGUUCGGAAUAACUCAGGGAAACUUGAGCUAAUACCGGAUACGCCCUUUUGGGGCAAGGUUUACUGCCGGAAGAUCGGCCCGCGUCUGAUUAGCUCGUUGGUGGGGUAACGGCCUACCAAGGCGACGGUCAGUCGCUGGUCUGAGAGGAUGAUCAGCCACCCUGGGACUGGGACACGGCCCAGACUCAUACGGGAGGCAGCAGUGGGGAAUAUUGGACAAUGGGCGAAAGCCUGAUCCAGCAAUGCCGCGUGAGUGAUGAAGGCCUUAGGGUUGUAAAGCUCUUUUACCCGGGAUGAUAAUGACAGUACCGGGAGAAUAAGCCCCGGCUAACUCCGUGCCAGCAGCCGCAGUAAGAC